AGAAAGAUUCCUUUCUUUGAUGGGAAACUGAGACUGAGUUCCCCUACUGCUAUGCAUGAGAUUGAAGGAUAGUCUUCCUCAAUCUAAGGUCCUCUACCAGAGUUUUAAGGUUCUGCACAGUAUUUUAGCUGUUCGUAACUGCACUCUUCUGGACAGAGAGCUUUGACAUUGUUUCUGAGAUAUGUUGGAACCACCCUCCAAAGUCUGGAUCUGCAAGUCACACAGGAUCUUAGCCCUCCUACUCUCCACUAUCUUUUGUGGAAUCUUCCAUCUGGACUUGGGAGGAUCUAAGCCAUGUAUUGUGCAGAUGUUUCGGUACAAAAUGCCAGCUACUUGGUCGUGCUGUUCAGUCUAUGCUCUUCCUGCCUGCAUCUUACACCUGCCACGAUGUAUAUCGAGAAGGAGUCUAUAGGUUUCAGCAGACUUUCAAAGAGAUCCAUGGAAAUAAAAGUUACCAACCUCUGAUUUAGAGCAAAGAAGAUGCAAUAUCUGGAUAUUAACAAGCGGAUCUUGUACACAGCAAUCAUAAAAAGAAGGACUCUGUUUUGUGGAAUUCAGAGUCAUGGCCUCUUAGAAAAUAGGAAACUUGGUUAUAAAUCUGAUACCAACAGUGUAAUCUUUACAGUUUCUUAAAUGCUAAAGUAAAAAUAAAAUAAACAAAAUCAGUUCCCACCAUAAGUUCCAUCAGUGUAUUAGCCAAACUCAUAUGUGAAGCAUUUCCUACUUGGAGAGGAUUCAAUUGUAUAUGCCUGCUAUUAAGACAAGGAGUUGUCAAGAAAAAUAAAAAGUUCUUGCCAAUAUUAAUUCUGCACUGUAAACUGGUUCACUUUCCCAGUAAAUAUGAGUGCAGUUUCCUGUUUUGUGCUCAUAUCAUAAGCUGGUAACAGAACCAGCUUUGGAUCAAUUGCUUCCACUUAACAUGAUAAACAGCAUGUGAAUUUUAUAGCUUGUUCCUACAACUCUUGAAAGAAACCAACAAACCAAGAGCAAUGUUAUUGCAACUGUUAUUACUUUCCUCCCUUGUUAAGAAAGCACAUUUCCCAGCCAUGCUAUGUACACAAGCUGCAUUCAUGUUACCAGUCUUUGUGGAUGGUUUAAAGAGAGACCCCACAGAUUUUCUGAACUCAUCUGGAAUCAGUACACAAAAACCCCUGAGGAUCUAAGACAUCACAAGCUCUGGAAUGUUUUUGUUUUCAGAAAUCAGUCCUAAAACUGUAGUAUUUUGUCGCACAUCUGGGAAAAGUGUGUAGAGGUUACAAAGAAGAACUGAAACUCUUGAGAAAGAAAAGUAUGUAAAGGAAAGACCGGGUGGAUAAUUUACUAGGAAAGAUGGGCAGAAACAUAAUGAUACUGCCACAAACAUUCCAACACAAUUGAAGGCCAUUCCAUAAAGUUAUACUGUGCAAGUUUUGCAGAAAGUAUGGUGAUAUUGGCUAAUUUUAUACUGUAAGUAAAUCAUCAACAGGAAAGGGAUUAUCUUAUUCCUAGAUAACAGAUCAAGUGGUCAAAUAUUAGGUGGAGAGGAUGAAAAAUUCUAAGAGCUAUUGGUGUGAAAUUCUUAAAAUAUAUAGCCAUAUGGUAUGUUCCAGAUUAGAGUUCCAAAAUUAUUUUUUUCUUCAGCCUGUAAGUGCCAGUAUUGUGAAAAAUAUAAACAUGUAACAGAUAGCCUGACCCAGGCAAUUCUAUAUGGAAUGAUUUGAACGUAAAUCUUGCCGAGAUCCAAGAGGUUGUUUUCCUGUUUAGGAUUUUAAUCUCAAAGAAGCAACUAUGUACAUUCCAUUUAAAUA